rnacentral:snRNA from 1 species
AUAUGUGAGGGCAAUCUGGCGGGGAUAUCUGUCACCCCAUUGAUUGCUGGAGUGGAUUUAGCUCAUCUGGUCGGCUAGGCAGGUGCCCCCUUCCUCCCUCCCUGCUCCGUGUGCAUCUCUUCCAAAGCUGUGCACUCAGUGGAAGAGGGUAACCAUUCCAGACAGAAAGAGUUAAUUUUCUCAGCAAAUUGGGGUUGCCACUAGACAUGGGAUACUCAUAUUUCCCCCCCCCCAAAAAAAAACUGGCAGAUCCAUUUGCUACUUAUGUGGCCAGCU